rnacentral:rRNA from 1 species
AAGUCGUAACAAGGUCUCCGUUGGUGAACCAGCGGAGGGAUCAUUACUGAGUACUACACUCUCUACCCUUUGUGAACUAUUAUACCUGUUGCUUCGGCGGCGCCCGCAAGGGUGCCCGCCGGUCUCAUCAGAAUCUCUGUUUUCGAACCCGACGAUACUUCUGAGUGUUCUUAGCGAACUGUCAAAACUUUUAACAACGGAUCUCUUGGCUCCAGCAUCGAUGAAGAACGCAGCGAAACGCGAUAUGUAAUGUGAAUUGCAGAAUUCAGUGAAUCAUCGAAUCUUUGAACGCACAGUGGCGCCUUCCAGUAUCCUGGGAGGCAUGCCUGUCCGAGCGUCGUUUCAACCCUCGAGCCCCUGUGGCCCGGCGUUGGGGAUCUGCCACGGCAGGCCCCUAAAACCAGUGGCGGACCCGAAGGGCCCUCUCCUUUGCGCAGUAGCAUUCGCCUCGCAUCGGGAGUCCUCGGCGUCCUGCCUCUAAACCCCCCCACAAGCCCGCUUCGGCGGCACCAAGGUUGACCUCGGAUCAGGUAGGAAUACCCGCUGAACUUAA